rnacentral:rRNA from 1 species
UACAGAGGGUGCGAGCGUUGUUCGGAAUUAUUGGGCGUAAAGCGCGCGCAGGCGGUCUCUUAAGUCUGAUGUGAAAGCCCACGGCUCAACCGUGGAGGGUCAUUGGAAACUGGGAGACUUGAGUGCAGAAGAGAAGAGCGGAAUUCCACGUGUAGCGGUGAAAUGCGUAGAGAUGUGGAGGAACACCAGUGGCGAAGGCGGCUCUUUGGUCUGUAACUGACGCUGAGGCGCGAAAGCGUGGGGAGCAAACAGG